AUGAACGCUAGCUACAGGCUUAACACAUGCAAGUCGAGGGGCAGCAUGGUCUUAGCUUGCUAAGGCUGAUGGCGACCGGCGCACGGGUGAGUAACACGUAUCCAACCUGCCGUCUACUCUUGGCCAGCCUUCUGAAAGGAAGAUUAAUCCAGGAUGGCAUCAUGAGUUCACAUGUCCGCAUGAUUAAAGGUAUUUUCCGGUAGACGAUGGGGAUGCGUUCCAUUAGAUAGUAGGCGGGGUAACGGCCCACCUAGUCAACGAUGGAUAGGGGUUCUGAGAGGAAGGUCCCCCACAUUGGAACUGAGACACGGUCCAAACUCCUACGGGAGGCAGCAGUGAGGAAUAUUGGUCAAUGGGCGAUGGCCUGAACCAGCCAAGUAGCGUGAAGGAUGACUGCCCUAUGGGUUGUAAACUUCUUUUAUAAAGGAAUAAAGUCGGGUAUGCAUACCCGUUUGCAUGUACUUUAUGAAUAAGGAUCGGCUAACUCCGUGCCAGCAGCCGCGGUAAUACGGAGGAUCCGAGCGUUAUCCGGAUUUAUUGGGUUUAAAGGGAGCGUAGAUGGAUGUUUAAGUCAGUUGUGAAAGUUUGCGGCUCAACCGUAAAAUUGCAGUUGAUACUGGAUGUCUUGAGUGCAGUUGAGGCAGGCGGAAUUCGUGGUGUAGCGGUGAAAUGCUUAGAUAUCACGAAGAACUCCGAUUGCGAAGGCAGCCUGCUAAGCUGCAACUGACAUUGAGGCUCGAAAGUGUGGGUAUCAAACAGGAUUAGAUACCCUGGUAGUCCACACGGUAAACGAUGAAUACUCGCUGUUUGCGAUAUACGGCAAGCGGCCAAGCGAAAGCGUUAAGUAUUCCACCUGGGGAGUACGCCGGCAACGGUGAAACUCAAAGGAAUUGACGGGGGCCCGCACAAGCGGUGGAGCAUGUGGUUUAAUUCGAAGCAACGCGAAGAACCUUACCAAGUCUUGACAUCCCUCUGACCGACUCUUAACCGAGUCUUUCCUUCGGGACAGAGGAGACAGGUGGUGCAUGGUUGUCGUCAGCUCGUGUCGUGAGAUGUUGGGUUAAGUCCCGCAACGAGCGCAACCCUUGUUGUCAGUUACUAACAGGUGAUGCUGAGGACUCUGACAAGACUGCCAUCGUAAGAUGUGAGGAAGGUGGGGAUGACGUCAAAUCAGCACGGCCCUUACGUCCGGGGCUACACACGUGUUACAAUGGGGGGUACAGAGGGCCGCUACCACGCGAGUGGAUGCCAAUCCCUAAAACCCCUCUCAGUUCGGACUGGAGUCUGCAACCCGACUCCACGAAGCUGGAUUCGCUAGUAAUCGCGCAUCAGCCACGGCGCGGUGAAUACGUUCCCGGGCCUUGUACACACCGCCCGUCAAGCCAUGGGAGCCGGGGGUACCUGAAGUGCGUAACCGCGAGGAUCGUCCUAGGGUAAAACUGGUGACUGGGGCU
rnacentral:rRNA from 1 species